GUUUGUGGCCAUACCACCCUGAACAAGACCGAUGCUUGAUCUCGGAAGCUAAGCAGGGUCGGGCCUGGUUAGUACUUGGAUGGGAGACCGUCUAGGUGCUGUAGGUGUGAAAAAUA
rnacentral:rRNA from 1 species